rnacentral:rRNA from 1 species
UACGUAGGGUGCGAGCGUUUGUCCGGAAUUAUUGGGCGUAAAGAGCUCGUAGGCGGUUUGUCGCGUCUGCUGUGAAAACUCGGGGCUUAACCCCGAGCCUGCAGUGGAUACGGGCAGACUAGAGGUAGGUAGGGGAGAAUGGAAUUCCCGGUGUAGCGGUGAAAAUGCGCAGAUAUCAGGAGGAACACCAAUGGCGAAGGCAGAUCUCUGGGCCGUAACUGACGCUGAGGAGCGAAAGCAUGGGGAGCGAACAGG